CGAUUCCAAAGACCUGUGAUGUGCAAAGAGCUUCGCCAAUCACCGCCGCCUUGGCUGUGAUCCUUUAUUUUCCUGCCUUCAGGCUCCCAGAAUGUCGAGCCAAUUGGAAAGCUGCUCGGGCGAACGAUAUAUAUUGAACUGAUCUUAGGAAGGGGGAGGUGGCUGCCAAACUGAAAAGACAAGAGGCUUUUAUUGCAAUAACUGAAUUGAUAUAUCCUGUUUGGCUUUUGAGUAACCAUCUGAAGACAAGAAGGAUUUACUUCAGAAACCAUUGAAGUUUGCUGCUAGGCAGAACUGUUUUUCUGGAAAAAAAGAAAAAAAAAUACAGUCCCUUGACAGGGUUUGAGGAGUUUGACAUAACAUAAACACAGGAAUCCUCCCGGGUAUUGAGGUCAGGCUGAUAGGUGUCGAGCUCUGCGAGGCCGCCUUUGUAUGAGGAAGAGACGCCGCCAGCCAACCCCACCGCCCGGCAGCAACCCCAUCUGAAUUUCACCGGUGCCGCUGCUCAGCUUCGUUGGCAAGUUAGCCCGGCAUUGCUGGUAUCCUCCCGUUCGCUCGUCGGAGCUGCAUGUGAUGUCAUUUUCAGGCGCCUCGCUCUGUGCGACAUUCUCCCUCAGAGCCUCGCAGGGCCGACAUAGGACAGGGGAGAGGCCGGUCGCUAAGAAAAUGACUGGACAUGUUGCUGGAUGGGCUGAUAGUCUGGGAAAGGAGCAGGGAGGGGCUGGGACUGGGGUUUAUGCCUUCUA